GGGGAAUUGGGUGUUCUCAGGCCCGCAACGUCGCGUGAGUGAUGAAGGCCUUCUGAUUGUAACCUCUUUUUGUAGGGACGAAACUUUGGGACGUGUCCCUCAUGCAAGGACCGUACCAAUACAGAACGGCUCACUCCAUGCCAUGACCCGCGGUAAUAUAAUAA
rnacentral:rRNA from 1 species